rnacentral:rRNA from 1 species
GAUGAACGCUAGCGACAGGCCUAACACAUGCAAGUCGAGGGGCAGCACAUGAGUAGCAAUACGAUGGUGGCGACCGGCGCACGGGUGAGUAACACGUAUGCAACCUGCCUGUAAGCGGGGGAUAACCCGGAGAAAUUCGGACUAAUACCGCAUAACACUGAUAAUUUGCAUGAAUUUUCAGUUAAAUAUUUAUAGCUUACAGAUGGGCAUGCGUAUGAUUAGAUAGUUGGUAGGGUAACGGCCUACCAAGUCAACGAUCAUUAGGGGUUCUGAGAGGAAGGUCCCCCACACUGGUACUGAGACACGGACCAGACUCCUACGGGAGGCAGCAGUGAGGAAUAUUGGUCAAUGGGCGAGAGCCUGAACCAGCCAAGUCGCGUGAAGGAAGACGGUUCUAUGAAUUGUAAACUUCUUUUGUAGAGGAAUAAAGUGGGUUACGUGUAGCCUUUUGUAUGUACUUUACGAAUAAGGAUCGGCUAACUCCGUGCCAGCAGCCG